rfam:Schistosoma mansoni strain Puerto Rico chromosome 3, complete genome
AUCCAUCUGACGAGUCCUAAAUAGGAAGAAACGAGCUUCCUGAAU